ACCAUCAGAAAACUGCGACAUUAGUGUC
rnacentral:sRNA from 1 species